GAUGAACGCUGGUGGCGUGCCUAAUACAUGCAAGUCGAGCGAACAGACGAGGAGCUUGCUCCUCUGACGUUAGCGGCGGACGGGUGAGUAACACGUGGAUAACCUACCUAUAAGACUGGGAUAACUUCGGGAAACCGGAGCUAAUACCGGAUAAUAUAUUGAACCGCAUGGUUCAAUAGUUAAAGACGGUUUUGCUGUCACUUAUAGAUGGAUCCGCGCCGCAUUAGCUAGUUGGUAAGGUAACGGCUUACCAAGGCAACGAUGCGUAGCUGACCUGAGAGGAUGAUCGGCCACACUGGAACUGAGACACGGUCCAGACUCCUACGGGAGGCAGCAGUAGGGAAUCUUCCGCAAUGGGCGAAAGCCUGACGGAGCAAUGCCGCGUGAGUGAUGAAGGUCUUCGGAUCGUAAAACUCUGUUAUUAGGGAAGAAAAAAUGUGUAAGUAACUACGCACGUCUUGACGGUACCUAAUCAGAAAGCAACGGCUAACUACGUG
rnacentral:rRNA from 1 species